GUGGAUUGUACAUUCACAGUUUUGCCCAGGGCAGAAAACAAUCCUGGUGCAAAAAGGAAGAAAUGCAUGUGAGAAAGCUGGGAAAGAUGCAAUACACGGGCAUCCUUGGAAGCUGACAUCUCUUCUUCCAGCUCUGGGCUCAGCUGCCUCAGCCUGGCUCUCUUGGACUCCUCUAACAAAAUCAUCUCCAUUCCUUGAAAAUUUCUUGUGGUUCAUUUCUGCACUUGAUCCUGUCUGAACUUACUUUCUGGUGUGAUGGUUUGUAAGCAUCAAAGAUUGAAGGGAGUCAAGAAACUGUGAAGAUUCCACUCUGAGUUUUUUUCUCAAAUAUUUAGGCAAUGAAAAAUUUCUUCCUCC